GUGUCAGCCGCCGCGGUAAGACAGAGGGUGCAAACGUUGCUCGGAAUUACUGGGCGUAAAGCGCGUGUAGGCUGAUUCGUGUGUCGGGCGUGAAAUCCCUGGGCUCAACCCAGGAACUGCACCCGAAACUGCGAGUCUAGAGUGGUGGAGAGGGUAGUGGAAUUCCUGGUGUAGAGGUGAAAUUCGUAGAUAUCAGGAGGAACACCGGUGGCGAAGGCGGCUACCUGGACACCAACUGACGCUGAGACGCGAAAGCGUGGGGAGCAAACAGGAUUAGAAACCCUUGUAGUCC
rnacentral:rRNA from 1 species